GGAGUUGUGGCUCAGCGGUAGAGCAUUCACCUAGCAUGUGAGAAGUCCUGGGUUCAAUCCUCAGCACCA
rnacentral:tRNA from 1 species